UACGGAGGGUGCAAGCGUUAUCCGGAUUCACUGGGUUUAAAGGGUGCGUAGGCGGGCAGGUAAGUCAGUGGUGAAAUCUCCGGGCCUAACCCGGAAACUGCCGUUGAUACUAUCUGUCUUGAAUAUCGUGGAGGUAAGCGGAAUAUGUCAUGUAGCGGUGAAAUGCUUAGAUAUGACAUAGAACACCCAUUGCGAAGGCAGCUUACUACACGAUCAUUGACGCUGAGGCACGAAAGCGUGGGGAGCAAACAGG
rnacentral:rRNA from 1 species